rnacentral:rRNA from 1 species
GAGACAGCAGUCGCCGCGGGAAUACGUAGGUGGCAAGCGUUGUCCGGAAUUAUUGGGCGUAAAGGGCUCGCAGGCGGUUUCUUAAGUCUGAUGUGAAAGCCCCCGGCUCAACCGGGGAGGGUCAUUGGAAACUGGGAAACUUGAGUGCAGAAGAGGAGAGUGGAACUCCACGUGUAGCGGUGAAAUGCGUAGAGAUGUGGAGGAACACCAGUGGCGAAGGCGACUCUCUGGUCUGUAACUGACGCUGAGGAGCGAAAGCGUGGGGAGCGAACAGGAUUAGAUACCCGCGUAGUCCCUGUCUCUUAUAC